CUUAGAGAAUUUCUUCAAGCCAGCCUUUCUCUUUAACCCCUGCGGCUCCGGCAGACAGCAGCCCAGCCACCCUUGCUAGGUUCCCGAGAUGCCUCCAGGGUCUGGGCUUUUCUCCAGCACGUGGCUCCCUGCUACCAUCCGAGAAGUCCCGGAUGCUGAGGACUUGCCCUGGAGGAUUGCCGACACACGGACAUUUAUGUCUUCCCCACGGGAAAAAACACCCCAUUAGAAGGCAAAAGUCUGGUUCCUCAUAGGAUCUCCAGGGAGCUGCAGCGGCCGGUACCAGAGGAAGGGCUACUGGAAAUGGCUCCAGGGCAUCAAAUUCUGUAAGAGAGGAUCAGGGUGGAUGCCCAUUCUACAGAGGGAAAACUGAGGCUCCUGACAGAACAGUGGCUUACCCCACUGGCUUCCCACUGCAUCCUUCUGCCUUAGCUUCUCACAAGCCUGUCAUUCAGCUCACCAGAUUCUCUCUUGGGGACACAGGAGAACUGUCUGCCCCUGUGUUGUGGGUUCUCAGAGCUCUGAGAGGCUGGGUUCCCAGCCUCUCAGUGGGAAUUCUAGCACAUGAAGCAAAGAGAUGAAGAACGUGUAGCUGAGAAGCUGAUGAUGCUGUGCAUUUGUUGACAGUCGGACGAUUGUCUCCAUCACGUGGCAACGAAUGGCUGUCAGAGGCAGAAACAAAGUCAGUCGUACAGAUCUCUCUCUCUCUCUCUCUCUCUCUCU
rnacentral:lncRNA from 1 species